rnacentral:rRNA from 1 species
AACGAACGCUGGCGGCAUGCCUAACACAUGCAGGUCGAACGAGACCUUCGGGUCUAGUGGCGCACGGGUGCGUAACGCGUGGGAACCUGCCCUUAGGUUCGGAAUAACUCCCCGAAAGGGGUGCUAAUACCGGAUAAUGUCUUCGGACCAAAGAUUUAUCGCCUUUGGAUGGGCCCGCGUUGGAUUAGCUAGUUGGUAGGGUAAAAGCCUACCAAGGCGACGAUCCAUAGCUGGUCUGAGAGGAUGACCAGCCACACUGGGACUGAGACACGGCCCAGACUCCUACGGGAGGCAGCAGUGGGGAAUAUUGGACAAUGGGCGAAAGCCUGAUCCAGCAAUGCCGCGUGAGUGAUGAAGGCCUUAGGGUUGUAAAGCUCUUUUACCCGGGAUGAUAAUGACAGUACCGGGAGAAUAAGCUCCGGCUAACUCCGUG